UGGGGAAUAUUGGACAAUGGGCGAAAGCCUGAUCCAGCAAUGCCGCGUGAGUGAUGAAGGCCCUCUGGGUUGUAAAACUCUUUUAUCAGGGAAGAUAAUGACGGUACCUGAUGAAUAAGCACCGACUAACUACGUGCCAGCAGUCGCGGUAAUACGUAGGGUGCGAGCGUUGCUCGGAAUUACUGGGCGUAAAGCACAUGUAGGCUGUUUUGUAAGUUAGAAGUGCAAGCCCUAGGCUCAACCUAGGAAUUGCUUCUAAUACUGCAGAACUAGAGUGUGGGAGAGGAUAAUGGAAUUUCUAGUGUAGAGGUAAAAUUCGUAGAUAUUAGAAGGAACACCAAAAGCGAAGGCAAUUAUCUGGAACACUACUGACGCUGAGAUGUGACAGCGUGGGGAGCAA
rnacentral:rRNA from 1 species